GGAGCAUCAACCGACCAGGAAGCCUCGAUAGGAGCGGCGUCUAGAAGCAGUUUUAAGAAGUUCCUCUGGGAAAGAGUGCCAGUGUCCCAGCCAGGUGACAGUGGAAGAACUGCCUGGAGUGGACUGUAAAAGAAGCUGCAGGAAUCAGGA